GCUGAACUUCAUUGGGAUUCUAGACAUUUAUUUUCAGUAAUAUAAAAUAAAACAUCCAAUAAAAACACAAAGUUUUGCAGUAAAAACGAGCGUGUUUUCUCCUCUCAAAAUGACUAAAUUGAGUUUAUUUCUGCCCCUGUUAUUCCCAUAUUUCCACACCAUCUGUCUGUUUCUCACGCUCUCUCUCCGCUCCCCGUCUCCCCACACACGCAUGCGUCGAGCAGUAUAGCUUGUAAAAAGAAGAUUUCCAUCAUAUCCAUCUUUACCAACCCUGAAAUUAUCGUUAAAAAAUGCCUGUUUUGGGAGAAAAAUCCCCCUCACCCCGACCCCACAGAACAAUGUAGCCCACAGCUGAGGACGCCCCCGACUUUUUUUUUUUUUUUUUUUUUCAAAAAGCACCGAGCGGAAGCCUGCAAAGAGAAAAAGAUCCUCAAAUCCUCCCAAUCGGCAGACUGUGAUGUUCAUCAGCAUCCAUGACCAUGAGGGCUACCAGUUCCCCCAUCGAGUCGGAGACCUGAACCAGAAGACAUGCUACAAAGCUCUGCGAAUCAGAAUUUGCCUCUUGAAUUACGAAGAAGGAAUCCCUUUACUGGACAAAAAGCUGCUUGUGAAAUCUGAGCUGGACUGUAGGUAUUGUGGAAUAAAAAAAUAAAGAUAGCUGGAAUGUGAAAUAAUGAAAAAGGAGUCAGUUAGAGAAUGGAAAAGCUUUUGAAGCCAGAAAGGCUGAUGGAAAGGAGAAAAAAAAUACAAUUCUAAAAAUCUGUAUCAGUCGAUGAUUAAUUAAUUUUGUUGAAUGAUCUGCUCCAGCCUUGUGAGAUAUCAGUUUCCAUUUCUUUUGCACUUUUAUGGAAGAUCUCAAGAGACUGCCGGUUCAAAAAGACGGUUCAAUUUAGAGUUCCGAUGGGAAAUGGUUUUAGAAAGUCUGUUCCUUACGUUUGGCUUUGAUGUGUUUAAACUGUCGUAAUCUUACUGUUCGGAGAUGGGGAAAAUAAAUUCUGUUAA